UACGGAGGGGGCUAGCGUUGUUCGGAAUUACUGGGCGUAAAGCGCACGUAGGCGGCUUUGCAAGUUAGAGGUGAAAGCCCGGGGCUCAACUCCGGAAUUGCCUUUAAAACUGCAUCGCUAGAAUUGUGGAGAGGUAAGUGGAAUUCCGAGUGUAGAGGUGAAAUUCGUAGAUAUUGGGAAGAACACCGGUGGCGAAGGCGGCGACCUGGUCCGAUACUGACGCUGAGGCGCGAAAGCGUGGGGAGCAAACAGG
rnacentral:rRNA from 1 species